rnacentral:rRNA from 1 species
GUGCGAAUGCUGACAUGAGUAACGACAAAGGGGGUGAAAAACCUCCUCGCCGGAAGACCAAGGGUUCCUGUCCAACGUUAAUCGGGGCAGGGUGAGUCGACCCCUAAGGUGAGGCCGAAAGGCGUAAUCGAUGGGAAACGGGUUAAUAUUCCCGUACUUCUGACUAUUGCGAUGGGGGGACGGAGAAGGCUAGGUGGGCCAGGCGACGGUUGUCCUGGUUCAAGUGCGUAGGCUUGAGAGUUAGGUAAAUCCGGCUCUCUCUAAGGCUGAGACACGACGUCGAGCUACUACGGUAGUGAAGUCAUUGAUGCCAUGCUUCCAGGAAAAGCCUCUAAGCUUCAGAUAGUCAGGAAUCGUACCCCAAACCGACACAGGUGGUCGGGUAGAGAAUACCAAGGCGCUUGAGAGAACUCGGGUGAAGGAACUAGGCAAAAUGGUACCGUAACUUCGGGAGAAGGUACGCUCUUGAUGGUGAAGUCCCUCGCGGAUGGAGCUGACGAGAGUCGCAGAUACCAGGUGGCUGCAACUGUUUAUUAAAAACACAGCACUGUGCAAAAUCGCAAGAUGACGUAUACGGUGUGACGCCUGCCCGGUGCCGGAAGGUUAAUUGAUGGGGUUAGCGCAAGCGAAGCUCUUGAUCGAAGCCCCGGUAAACGGCGGCCGUAACUAUAACGGUCCUAAGGUAGCGAAAUUCCUUGUCGGGUAAGUUCCGACCUGCACGAAUGGCGUAAUGAUGGCCACGCUGUCUCCACCCGAGACUCAGUGAAAUUGAAAUCGCUGUGAAGAUGCAGUGUACCCGCGGCUAGACGGAAAGACCCCGUGAACCUUUACUACAGCUUGGCACUGAACAUUGAACCUACAUGUGUAGGAUAGGUGGGAGGCUAUGAAGACGUGACGCCAGUUGCGUUGGAGCCGUCCUUGAAAUACCACCCUUGUAUGUUUGAUGUUCUAACUUAGACCCAUUAUCUGGGUUGAGGACAGUGCCUGGUGGGUAGUUUGACUGGGGCGGUCUCCUCCCAAAGAGUAACGGAGGAGCACGAAGGUGGGCUAAUCACGGUUGGACAUCGUGAGGUUAGUGCAAUGGCAUAAGCCCGCUUAACUGCGAGAAUGACGGUUCGAGCAGGUGCGAAAGCAGGUCAUAGUGAUCCGGUGGUUCUGUAUGGAAGGGCCAUCGCUCAACGGAUAAAAGGUACUCCGGGGAUAACAGGCUGAUACCGCCCAAGAGUUCAUAUCGACGGCGGUGUUUGGCACCUCGAUGUCGGCUCAUCACAUCCUGGGGCUGAAGUCGGUCCCAAGGGUAUGGCUGUUCGCCAUUUAAAGUGGUACGCGAGCUGGGUUUAGAACGUCGUGAGACAGUUCGGUCCCUAUCUGCCGUGGGCGUUGGAAGAUUGAAGGGGGCUGCUCCUAGUACGAGAGGACCGGAGUGGACGAACCUCUGGUGUUCGGGUUGUGUCGCCAGACGCAUUGCCCGGUAGCUAAGUUCGGAAUUGAUAAGCGCUGAAAGCAUCUAAGCGCGAAGCGAGCCCUGAGAUGAGUCUUCCCUGACAGUUUAACUGUCCUAAAGGGUUGUUCGAGACUAGAACGUUGAUAGGCAGGGUGUGUAAGCGUUGUGAGGCGUUGAGCUAACCUGUACUAAUUGCCCGUGAGGCUUAACCAUACAACACCCAAGG